rnacentral:rRNA from 1 species
AAUUUGGGACAAUGGGGGAAACUCUGAUAUCGCCAUCCCGCGUGUAUGAUGAAGGACUUCGGGUUGUAAAGAACUUUUGGCAGAGAAGAAAAGGUACAUACUAAUACGAAAGACUGCUGACGGUAUCUGCAGAAUAAGCACCGGAUAACUACGUUCCAGCAGCCGCGGUAAGACGUAGGGGGCAAGAGUUAAUCGGAUUUAUUGGGCGUAAAGCGUGUGUAGGCGCUUCGCAAAGAAAGAAAUGUAAUCCCAGGACUCCACCUUGAAACUACAUUUUGAACUUCCGAGCUGGAGUAUAUAAGAAUGGGGUAGAAGACCACAUGUAGCAGUGAAAUGCGUAGAUAUGUGGAGGAAUACCGAUGGCGAAGGCAGCCCCCUUGGAUAAUACUGACGCUCAGACACGAAAGCGUGGGGAGCAAACAGA